CAGUGGGCAGCAAUUCAAACAAAGGCCUGCACUCACCAGUGCCUGUUCAAGUCCCCCACUUGACAGCGGAAAUCCAGGGAAGCUCCCUCAGAAGUUGGAGAUCCGCCACACGUCGAAGAAGGUGCAGAGGGAACCAAAGCUGAAGCCUCUGCACAAAAGCUGAUGACCGGGCAGGAAUCAACAGGAUCCAGGAACCCUCAUGAUGGAGUAAAUCCAUGUUUGGGAACAAAUGAAGCAUGAAAGGCCUGUGCAGCUUGUCAACUCUGUGGCCUCUGACCAGGCACGGAAUGCGGGUUUCGUGUGACGUGUUCAAGGUUUUGCCAUCUGUGACAAGCCACACCCCCUCGCCACUCUUAUUCUCACUGAGCCCCGGUGUCUUUUUCGUGGACAAGUGCCCUCUGUCCACAUUCACUGUCCUGGAAAAGAUGCUUAUAAUGUGGUUUGUUUAUUUUUGGUUCACGUAGGACACUCUCGACCUUUGCUUUUUCUUUUUUUUUGAGUUUGAGUUAAUUUUUCUCACCUUACAAGAAUACAUGCUUACCAACUUUAUUUGUUUGUUUAAAAACAUGUUACAUGUUCAAUUUCCAUGCACUUACUUAGUCAGUCUCUGUCACAACUAUCUAUCCAACCUAAUUGGACGAUUUUUUCGUUCUACAGAGACUCCUGAAAAUAUCCCGUUUGGACACAGAAGGGCACCCCUGAAUCUUAAGAAGUGAGACACAUGGAACAUUUACAGCCCGUCUUAUAUUUGAUGAUAGGGUUCUUGUCAAUGUCACUUAUAGUGUUGAACACAUCCAUCAUGGUUGAACUCAUAAAUAGUCAAAAGGUUUCCAUUUCUAAAAUUAUGAUGGUAACUGCCACUGAAGUUGUGACUGAUAACAUUGCUCCGAACACUUUAAAUGAAAAAAUGAAAAAAAA